GCUGUCUCCAUAUUCCUUUAUUACCGUCAGUAGGUUUGGCAUUGAAAUCAGUGGUUGCGUUAGGGUCAGGAGCACGUCGUCCGCGAAUAGAUUGGCUUUGUAUUCCUUUUCCCCAAUGCGUACUCCGUGUAUGGAGUCAUGUUGUCUAAUCUUUGUUGCCAGUGGCUCUAAAGCCAGAACGUACAACAAGGGGGACAGGGGACACCCCUGUCUCGUGCCAUUUGAGAUACUAAACGGGUUUGAUAGAAAACCCGCGUUAAGUACCUGGGCUGUCGGGGCGCUAUAUAACGCUUUGGCCGCUGCUCUAAAUUCUCCUGGUACUCCAAAUUUUGUCAUGACUGCCUCCAGGAAAGCCCAG